rnacentral:rRNA from 1 species
GAUGAACGCUGGCGGCGUGCCUAAUACAUGCAAGUCGAGCGAACGGACGAGAAGCUUGCUUCUCUGAUGUUAGCGGCGGACGGGUGAGUAACACGUGGAUAACCUACCUAUAAGACUGGGAUAACUUCGGGAAACCGGAGCUAAUACCGGAUAAUAUUUUGAACCGCAUGGUUCAAAAGUGAAAGACGGUCUUGCUGUCACUUAUAGAUGGAUCCGCGCUGCAUUAGCUAGUUGUUAAGGUAACGGCUUACCAAGGCAACGAUGCAUAGACGACCUGAGAGGGUGAUCGGCCACACUGGAACUGAGACACGGUCCAGACUCCUACGGGAGGCCGCAGUAGGGAAUCUUCCGCAAUGGGCGAAAGCCUGACGGAGCAACGCCGCGUGAGUGAUGAAGGUCUUCGGAUCGUAAAACUCUGUUAUUAGGGAAGAACAUAUGUGUAAGUAACUGUGCACAUCUUGACGGUACCUAAUCAGAAAGCCACGGCUAACUACGUG